rnacentral:rRNA from 1 species
CACGUAGGGGGCGAGCGUUGUCCGGAAUCAUUGGGCGUAAAGGGCGCGUAGGUGGCCCGGUCAGUCAGUGGUGAAAGCGCGGGGCUCAACUCCGCGUCGGCCAUUGAUACUGCUGGGCUUGAGCACUGUAGAGGCAGGCGGAAUUCCGGGUGUAGCGGUGGAAUGCGUAGAGAUCCGGAAGAACACCGGUGGCGAAGGCGGCCUGCUGGGCAGUAGCUGACACUGAGGCGCGACAGCGUGGGGAGCAAACAGG